AUUCACAUAUAUACAGGCUUACACAGAGAAAUGCCCCAAUCCUUUCUAAAAUCGAACAACUUCUAUUUCGCUUUGCAAACACACAAGGCAAGUUCUAGGUAUCGCAUGCAAGCACAGAAUGCAAGUAAUAACUCACACACACUUAGCAAACUCAUUCCGAAUCAAUUCAUCAACACACUCAUACGAGCGCUCAAGCAAGACAAAAUGUGCAAAAUUAAGGCAUAGAUAUACAAGUCCACAAACGAGCCUAGAUGUCACACUCUCAAGUUCGUUUUAGUUAUUUGCAGGUGUGAACAUUAGGUGGUUGCAUUCUAGCCUUCACCCAUUUUUGUCCUAUAAAUAUAAGAGAAAAAAAUCUACCUAACC
rnacentral:lncRNA from 1 species